GAUCAUGGCUCAGGACGAACGCUGGCGGCGUGCUUAACACAUGCAAGUCGAGCGAUGAAGCUCUUCGGAAGUGGAUUAGCGGCGGACGGGUGAGUAACACGUGGGUAACCUGCCUCAUAGAGGGGAAUAGCCUUCCGAAAGGAAGAUUAAUACCGCAUAAGAUUGUAAUAUCGCAUGAUAUAGCAAUUAAAGGAGUAAUCCGCUAUGAGAUGGACCCGCGUCGCAUUAGCUAGUUGGUGAGGUAACGGCUCACCAAGGCGACGAUGCGUAGCCGACCUGAGAGGGUGAUCGGCCACAUUGGGACUGAGACACGGCCCAGACUCCUACGGGAGGCAGCAGUGGGGAAUAUUGCACAAUGGGGGAAACCCUGAUGCAGCAACGCCCGCGUGAGUGAUGACGGUCUUCGGAUUGUAAAGCUCUGUCUUCAGGGAUGAUAAUGACGGUACCUGAGGAGGAAGCCACGGCUAACUACGUGCCAGCAGCAGC
rnacentral:rRNA from 1 species